CAUCAGUCUUCAAUAGAUAUCGAGUUGGAUGCUUCAGAAAUUCUCAUACAUGAUGGCCAAUAUGAAGAGGUAGAUCCAACUGAUUUUAUUUUAAAGGACAAUCUUAUCUAAGAAGGGGAAGAAAAGGAAGAAGAGGAAGAGGUGAAAGCAGAGGAAGAAGUGGAAAAAGAGGAAGAAUCGAAAGAAGAAUUCGAAGGAUACCAG
rnacentral:lncRNA from 1 species